CUUUCCAGAGGUCACCCAAUUUUUUAUUUCAUAGCACUGGCUCCCUGACACAUUUAUCCACUCUGUUCUUACACUGUUCCUUAAAUUAACUAACAUUAAUUUUAUUCCAGUCUUUCUGCAUCACUUUGCUUUUACUGUAUCUCUUGUGCAGGAUAUAAUUGAGCUUUAUUUUUUAACUUAAAUCUGAAAGUCUUAGACUUUUAAUGAUAAGAACAUUUAACCUACUUACAUAUUUUAUCAUAGUUGAUGUGUUUGACCCCUACUUUUGCCAUUUGUAUGUUUCUGAGUGUUUUUGUGCAUGUUCAUUUUCUCAUUUUUUUAUUUCAUAGACUGUAUUUUAACAUCUUGAUGGUUUGAAGGUAGAAAACCUGAUUUUUAACCUUUAUGUUUAUUAUAUACAUAUGCUGUAGAAAUGCCUAUGUAUAUAAUAAAACCCCAUAACUCAUUGCUCCCCUCAUUAAGACAAGUAUAUUUAUUUAUUUAUUUAUUUAUUUUAUUUUUUGUCUUUUGUCUUUUGUUGUUGUUGUUGUUGCUAUUUCUUGGGCCGCUCCCGCGGCAUAUGAAGGUUCCCAGGCUAGGGGUUGAAUCGGAGCUGUAGCCACCGGCCUACGCCAGAGCCACAGCAACGUGGGAUCCGAGCCGCGUCUGCAACCUACACCACAGCUCACGGCAACGCCGGAUCAUUAACCCACUGAGCUAGGGCGGGACCGAACCCGCAACCUCAUGGUUCCUAGUCGGAUUCGUUAACCGCUGCGCCACGACGGGAACUCUGACAAGUAUAUUUAAUAUAUUUUAAGUAUAUGUAAUACCUGCUUUCUUCUGGCACCCACUAUUUCCUUGUCCUUAUUAAUUUAAUCUUAUAUGUACAGUUUCUUAUGUAAUUAUUUCCCAAAAUAGUUUUAAAAAAUAACUUCUAAUUUCUAUUUUGUAACCAGAGAUAACAUUAUUUUUUAUUACUAAUAUUCAUAGGAUUGAUAAUCCUUAAUUGUAUUAAUAAUACUAUUAAUAUUAAUAAUAGAUGAAUGGAUAAAGAAGAUGUAAUAUACACAAUGGACAACUACUCAGCCAUCAAAAAGAGUAAAAUAAUGUCAUUUGCAGCAGAUGGAUGAACUUAAAGAGAUUAUCAUAUUAGGCAAAGUCAAUCAGAAAGAGAAAGACAAAUACCAUACCGUAUCAUUUAUAUGUGAAAUCUAAAAUACAAUACAAAUCAACAUAUUUACAAAACAAAAACAAACUCAUAGACAUAGAGAACAGACUUGUGGUUGCCAAGGGGGCAGGAGUCAGGGAGGGAAGGAUUGGGAGCUGGGAUUAACAGAUGCAGGCUGUUAUAUAUAAACUGGAUAAACAACAAGGUCCUAUUAUACAUAAACUGGAUGAACAACAAGUUUAUAUAAAAACUGGAUAAACAACAAACUCAGUAUCCUGUGAUAAACUAUAACGGAAAAAGAAUAUGAAUAAGAAAAAAUAUAUAUAUAACUGAAUCACUUUGCUGUACAGCAGAAACUAACACAACAUUCUAAAUCAACUAGACUUCAAUAAAAUCAAAAGAUAUACUGAUAAGAGCUAUAAUUUACUGGGUACAUGCUAUGUGCCAGGAACUGCAUCAAGCACCUUACCUAGAUUUUUUUACUUAAUCCUUACAGAAACCCUGCUUCUUUGGUGAGGUUAGGAAUGUUAAAUAACUGUGAACAGCCCCACAUCAGCAGGGAGGCAGAGCUGGAAUUCAUCUGCUGGUCUCUGAUCCCAAAGCUUGUGCUCUUAAUGCCCUGGCUCAUUUAAACUGGGUUCAGGUUGACCACUGGUCCAUUUUACACCAUCCCAGUGUCCUUGAUCUUGAUUCAUUGCAGGCACCUGAAACAUUAAGGCCUGUUUCGCUGUCUCAGGAGGAAGACAUGACUGGUUUAUUUUCUGAGACCUUGCACACCAUCGUGUUUUUAUAACAUCUCUCCAUCUGAAUCACCUGGUUUUUAACAAUCCAGUUCUUUGGGGGCUGUGGGCCAGUGCACGUGCGGCAGGCAGGCCGGGAAUGUGCCUCUCCCUCCUCCAUUCCUGCGGUGAGAAUGCUGCUUCCUCUUUGAUGUGUGCUCCUUAUUGAUCUGUAAUUCACUUUGCCAUUGCCAAUUUAAAACUCGUUGGAAUACUUAGGGGUGUUUAAUUUGGGAGUUCCUAGGAAGUGCGUUGAGUUUAUUUGGUCUCCUGCCAUGUUAAGAAAGAAGCCAGUGUGGAUCUUGUAAAUAUUUUUUUCCUAUUCAUGGCAUUAGUCAUCUCCCAACUUUGCAUCUUCAACAAAUUGGAUGUUUCCUUUUUGGCAGUUUCAUUGCAGACUGUUGAGCAGGUGUGAGCCCCCUGGCGUUGAACUGGAGGCCCCUCUCCAGAUUGACAUCCGUCUAUUAACCCACAUUCUUUGAUUAAGAAUUGGCCGAUUAUAAACCUUUUUCUCUAUAUUUUUUGCAAAGAAACCAUGAUUGAUGUUCUUAAGUGCCUUACUGAAACCAACACUAUCUUAAGAAUUCUUUUGAGCUAAGCCUAGUAACCCCACACAAAAAAAGAAAAUUCAUUAUUCUGACGUGUUCCUAAAAUUACUGAUUCCUUCCUAAAACACAGACAGACGUGCCAUCUCUCAGGGAAGCUGUCCAGGAGUCUGUUGGGGAGUCCCACCAAGCUAACUCUUGUAGAGCUUCUGGACUUGGGAAAAGAAACACGUUUGCUGCUCUGGUCCCUAUACCUGUCCUGUUACCUCACUGAGACCCCUCAGAGGCUCUAAGAAAACACUGGAGGCCUGUUCACUAUUUAGGGCAGAGUCAGACAAGACAGAUUUGAACCCCUGAAGACAGGCGGAUCUUGGGCGCACACCUCUCCAGUUCCUCUGUGGCAUCCUCACUGUGCAUUCUGGCCGAGGCCACCCUCAGUGGGGGCCGAACCCCCCUCCUGUUCCCAGUUCAUCAGCCUCACUGAUGAACUGGCUUCUCCAGCACCAGCUCCCAUCCAGAGCCUCAUGGAAUCACAAGGCAGUUUUCUGCGCCUUGCAGAGAAUCCUCGCCUGAUGUCUGCGAGCUGCACUGUGUGUACCAGCUGCUCUGAUGUGAGCAGGUGCCCAAGACCACUACCACUCUAGUCCCUGAUGCCCUCUUUGCUCAGAGCAAGUCCUGCACAGAGCCCCCCUCCCCAGGCAUCCAUGGUGGGAGCAUAUUUAAAUGCUCCACUUUUUAACGGAAUGAGACUUCUAGCAGAAGUGAGACUGUUUUGCUUCAGCACCUAUUCUACCAACCAUAAUCAGAAAUUAGCUUUCGUGCCUUUGCUUACCCAGGCAGACUGUGGGACAUCCCACAACCCAACUCACGCUCCUUCCUCUUCUGCAUGGGGCCUCCACGCCCGGCUUUCCCAGUCUACACAGUAACGGAGGGGGUGGGGGGGGGCAUGCUGAUGUCCACAGUCACUCCAGCUGCUUCCACUGAGAUGCACCUUGUAAACUUAACCCUCCCUGCCUGGGCUUGACCAAUGACAGAGAUGCCUGUAACUACUUCACUUCCCGUUUUGCAUGAACAUUUCUCAUAUGCAUUUGUUUCUCAUAUCCUACAUCAUUAUUCUCACACACAUUCACCUAGAAUCACACCAAGCAUGGAAGAAAGAGAGCUAAGAGGGGCCGUCAGCCUUGACUCUGAUCCCACCUCUGACUGAGGUCCAAGGACUCACUCCAGAAGCAUGGACCCCGGGAUGGGGUCGGGGUGGGGACAGCUGGCUGAUGAUCAGGCCUGCCCUUGGAGGAGACCAGGUCUGUCCCACUCUCUGCUGACCCAGCUCUCAAAGCUGGGGGCCCGGAGUGGCCAGCCCAGGAGGUAGGGGGCCUGCCUGCUGCCUGGACGCUGCUGGCCUGCCCCCUCAGCACCAGCUCCAGGGACGCAUAGACCCCCUUCAUUCACAAGACCCCUUGCCUCUUCUUCUCCAAGAAGCCCAGGAGGACCUGGCCCCUGGGCUGAAACAGAGCCCCAGGGAUCGUCCUCGACCUCCCCCAGGCACAUCAUGACCGUUCUUUCUCAUCAUGGCCGUUCUUCUUCCUUCCAGAGGAAGGCCAACAGACCAGGCUGGGCCCCAGCGGGCCAGGAGGCUGGGAGAGCACACGGGAUGUGGUGCCCGUGAAUGGGCUCACUGACGGGAGGAGCUGGCGUGACUCCCCUCCGACAGCUCUGACUGUCCCAGCAGCACUGGCUGGCAAGUUACGUGAAAGGGCUGUGGUAUUAGGGAGCCAGCUCAAAAUGAUGUGGGUUUUUACAAACCAGGAACCUAGAAAUGAUACAGAGGGAGAAGGAUCAUUCUGGUGUUUUUCAGGACUUCCCAGGGCACCAUCGAGUCAGCCAGGACUGUUGAAGGCCUCCAAGGUGGCAUGUCCCCCGGCCCUACGGGAACUCUUGGGGGCAGACAGAGCUGAGACUCAGCCAGCUGCAGGGCAGCACCGGGAGGCGAGAAGUUGGGCAGCUCCUCCUGGGCUGAGCCCUGGGUCCCUCUGAGAGCAAACACGUGGGUUUUAAGAGCUCUCUCCUGAUAGAAAAAGACAGUCCCUCUCUGCUGCCUGAUGCCUGCCCCCCGCCCCUCCACCUUGGUCCCCUAAGUCAUUAUCACAUGCGACCAACAGCAUCUUACAGCCUCUGGGAGGAUUUCCAUGGAGGAACUUCUGUGCAGAGGUUUCCCGAGCGUAAGAAACUGUCUCUUACCAACAGGUUCACACCUGGGGAGGGAAGGCUCCCCAAGUCUGCCUGGCCUCCUGGCCCUGCUCACCCCUCCCUCCCUCAUCACACCUGCAGCCACGGGAGGAGAAGGGCUGCAGGCCCGACCAGGGAUUGAGUGCAAACAAUCAUGCUUAACCUGCAGAACUCCACUUUCUCAAGAACAAUACUGAGUACCCGCCAUCCAGUCCACGCAAAAAGCACGCCAAGACCUGGUCUCUGCCUCCAGAAGCUGACAGUCCAGCUGGAGAGGAUGGACACGCACACAUACCAGGAGGAGACUAAAUUAAGCCUUGGAUGGUAUAAUCUUGAAAUAAACUCGGUGAAAUGUCACAAAAUGGCAGGAAUAGCUGGGAUGGCUCCAGGAAAGAGAAAGAGUGUCAGAGGGCCAUGAAAACAGGUAGGACCAGAGGACAAGGGAGGGGCAGUCAUCCAGGCUCUAAGAGAGACACCCCUCGGUAUCUCAUGCACCCAAGACCUCCCGAAAGCAGGGUCUCCUGUCUUCCUCUGCCUGUGCCCAGGGAUGGCAGAGUGCCUGGAGCCAGAGGGACACAGAGACACACAGAGACACACGCACACAUGCACAGCCACCACUUUUAAACACCCACAGUGAGCUAGGCACUAAAUAAGACUCCUCAUAAGUGGGGCAUCAAAUACUUAAGAAAAGCCUGUGAGGUAGAGAUGAUUGUUCCAAUUUAUAAGUGAGGAGAUGAAGACUUGGUCAAGGUCAUGGUAAAUCGGAGGCAGAGCUGGAUGUCACACCACCCUGUCCGGGUCCUUUCCUGCACUGGCCUGUCGAAGGUCUGCUGCACGGCAGUUCAGCCGUGGCACUGCUAUCCGAGCUGCCUUUCACCUUCCCUCUGACCAUGUAUGCCAGCUCCUUGGAACCCAUGUGUAACUACCAGGAUUUGGUUCAGCUGCAUAAAUGAAACAACAAUAACAGAAGAUUUAUUUUUCUAUCAAACGAAGCUGUUUAAAGGGAGGUUGGCUCAGAUGGUAGCUGCAUGGUCAUGGAUUCUUAGGCUGGCUUUGUUCUGCUUCCCUGACCUCAAGGCCUGGCUUUCAUCUUACGGUCUAAUGUAGCUGCCAAACUCCAGCCAUUACAACUGCAUUCCAGGAAGCAGGAAGGAGGGGAGAAAAAAAGGCUCAUCUACCGGCUUUUGGUGCUUUCGUUAAAUUAUAGCAUACAGUUUUAAAUUUCUCAUUGGCCAGAAAUUGUCACUAAGCCUUACAUGACACAAAAAUCUAGGUAGCCUUUGUAGAAAUGUGCCAGGUGGAGAUCAAGGUUCAGUUACCAAGGAGAAAGCCUAGAUCAGGUGCUGGGGUAGACAACUUGCAAUUUUUCUUAUACUCUAUAUAAUUCCAUUUUUAAAAAAAGUAUCAGGGUGUGUGGUUGGUCCUCAAUAGCUCAGAAGCAAAGUUAAUAAUUUCCGCCAGAGCCCUUCUUCCUCCCUUUCUUCCUCUCUUUCUAACACUGCAGAUUGGAACUCUUCCGACUCAAAGGGAGAGACCCUGCUGGGAGCUCUUGUGACUCACCUUUGAGGUCACCAUCCCCCUGCAGCCUCACGCGCCCCUAUCACCCACCUCAAGCGUCUUUCCUCCUCAGCCGGAGAUGGAGCUCGCUAAUCCCCGGCCUCCAGACUGACCCUGUGUUGCCUGUUAUUGGGUCACCUUUCAGCCUGCUCUCCCACCAGUGAAGCCCAGCUCACCUGCCAACCCCUCCCAGUCCACAGUUAUGCUCACGCUUUCCUCCCAAACUCUCCAAGCUCUUCCAGUGCCUCCCCCCGUCUUUGUUCCCAGUUCUUCCCUUGAACAGUUUGUGUCUUGAGAAUUAAAAAAAAAAAAAAAAAAAAA
rnacentral:lncRNA from 1 species